rnacentral:rRNA from 1 species
GCAAGUCGAACGGCAGCGCGGGGAGCUUGCUCCCUGGCGGCGAGUGGCGGACGGGUGAGUAAUGCAUAGGAAUCUGCCUAGUAGUGGGGGACAACUCCGGGAAACCGGGGCUAAUACCGCAUACGCCCUACGGGGGAAAGCGGGGGAUCUUCGGACCUCGCGCUAUUGGAUGAGCCUAUGUCGGAUUAGCUUGUUGGUGGGGUAAUGGCCCACCAAGGCGACGAUCCGUAGCUGGUCUGAGAGGACGAUC